CAGCUUAAGGUUGAAAUUUUAAAAUAACACAAGAUAUCAAGGGAAGCAAUUAAUUCAGUAAUGGAAGGCAAUUCCAUGAGAAGAUUUGUCCUUAUGGUCGUGAUAAUGACCGUCCUCUCGGUAACUUUAGCCCAGGCUCAGUCUGCUUCUUGCCAACUGAAAUGCCAGAUACAAUGCGGCUUCACCAGAGCAAGAGCUGUUUGUGUCAGCGAAUGCUUAAAACACUGCCGGCAGGUGCAAAUUCCAGGGCCUGUGGAAGUGGAAUAUUGUACCCUUGGUUGUGCAAGUUCCAUCUGUAUAG
rnacentral:lncRNA from 1 species